rnacentral:rRNA from 1 species
GGUCAAAGUUUCGAAGCGGCCCCCGCAAGGGGAGCGGCAGACGGGUGAGUAACGCGUGGGAACGUACCUUUUGCUACGGAAUAACUCAGGGAAACUUGUGCUAAUACCGUAUGUGCCCUUCGGGGGAAAGAUUUAUCGGCAAAGGAUCGGCCCGCGUUGGAUUAGCUAGUUGGUGAGGUAAAGGCUCACCAAGGCGACGAUCCAUAGCUGGUCUGAGAGGAUGAUCAGCCACACUGGGACUGAGACACGGCCCAGACUCCUACGGGAGGCAGCAGUGGGGAAUAUUGGACAAUGGGCGCAAGCCUGAUCCAGCCAUGCCGCGUGAGUGAUGAAGGCCCUAGGGUUGUAAAGGUCUUUCAC